UUUCAGAGUCACAUUUACCUUUUGUAGACCCCUUAUAUAUCCUCCCUUCCACCUGACCUCCUCUGAAAUCUUCAUUUUUAAGAUAGAUGAGUAGCUAUUUAGUGUCCAAGCAGAUGUCGUAGGGGCUUCUAUUGAUAGUAAUUAAAUGGGAAAGAGUGAGAUUCUCACCUUUGUUCUGAAUCUUCUGAUGGAUCUAAAAAUACUUGCAGGUGUUAGGUUACCCAAGCAAACCGAUCGGCCUUUUCAUAAAAAGAUCUAUCAUCUUCCGAUCUGAUUCCAAUGGGGAAGAUUUGGAAGGUUAUGCCGGUGCUGGCCUCUACGACAGGUAACUUCUCUCAUAGGUUUUCAGUUGGUGAACUUUUUUAAGACAGCUACUCAGUUACCAUUUUCCUAGUUUUGGGUAGAUGAAUAAUGCAGCUUUUUCGGAAGUUAAUAUUUUGGAUUCUCUGUCUAUAUAUAUAUAUAUAUAUCACAGAAGGACAACCAAUAAAGAUUAAAGCAACCCUAUAUAUCACAACACGUCCCUUUAUACACACUCCUGAUCUGAGCUCUUUAUUUUUCCCCAAGAGGGCAUAUAUACUGCAUAUGCUUCAAUUUCAUAGCAGUUCUAUUUGUAACAAAAUACUUUGAUUUCAACUUUUAUAGCAUCACCAUAACAGCUUACGUAUUGGUUUACUGCAGUGUACCAAUGGAUGAGGAGGAAAAAGUUGUAAUUGAUUACUCUUCCGAUCCAUUGAUAACUGAUGGUAACUUCCGCCAGACAAUCCUGUCCAGCAUUGCUCGUGCUGGACAUGCUAUCGAGGAGCUAUAUGGCUCUCCUCAAGACAUCGAGGGUGUAGUGAGGGAUGGAAAGAUUUAUGUCGUUCAGACAAGACCUCAGAUGUGAUCAUAUUCUCGUUGUAUGUUGUUCAGAGAAGACCACAGAUAUGAUCAUAUUCUCAUGGUAUCAGAUCUGUGACCACUUACCUCCCAUGAAGUUGCCUGUAUGAUUAUACGUGAUCCAAAGCCAUCACAUCAUGUUCACCUUCAGCUAUUGGAGGAGAAGUGAGAAGUAGGAAUUGCAAUAUGAGGAAUAAUAAGAAAAACUUUGUGAAAGCUAAAUUAGCUGGGUAUGAUAUAGGGAGAAAUGUGUAAACAUUGUACUAUAUAUAGUAU
rnacentral:lncRNA from 1 species